rnacentral:rRNA from 1 species
GAUGAACGCUGGCGGCGUGCCUAAUACAUGCAAGUCGAGCGGACAGACGAGGAGCUUGCUCCUCUGACGUUAGCGGCGGACGGGUGAGUAACACGUGGAUAACCUACCUAUAAGACUGGGAUAACUUCGGGAAACCGGAGCUAAUACCGGAUAAUAUAUUGAACCGCAUGGUUCAAUAGUGAUAGACGGUUUUGCUGUCACUUAUAGAUGGAUCCGCGGCGCAUUAGCUAGUUGGUAAGGUAACGGCCUACCAAGGCGACGAUGCGUAGCCGACCUGAGAGGGUGAUCAGGCACACUGGAAAUGAGAAACGGGCCCGACUCCCACGGGAGGGAGCAGUGGGGAAUAUUUGCCAAUGGGGGAAAGCCUGAACGAGCCAAGCCGCGUGUGUGAAGAAGGUCUUUGGAUUGUAAAACCCUUUUUGUUGGGAGAAAGGAAAGUAAGUUAAAACCUUGCUGUUUUGACGGUACCAUAAGAAGAAGCCCCGGCUAACUUCGUG